GGUUAUGUCGUAUAAAGGUUAUUACGGAGAGCUGUUAACUCUUUUAUCUUGGUUCGAUUCCAAGCAUGACCGC
rnacentral:tRNA from 6 species